rnacentral:tRNA from 1 species
GGGAUUGUGGCUCAGUGGUAGAGUGCUUGCCUAGCAUGCAUGAGGCACUGGGUUCAAUUCUCAGCACCA